GUUAAAUACUCCUACGUGCGACGGUCGUGCUAAAGACACCCGCUAAAUACAUAAAAUUGAAAUUAACCAAAAAUCCAAACACAAAAAUAAUGUAAAAAUGCUAAACACAAAAUAAUUAAAAAUGUCAAAUAUAAAAUCACCAGAUAAUACUGAUAUUCGUGAGAUAUUCUAUUCCAACUUGCUUUUAUUAGGAUUCGAUGCAGAAACGUAUGAAGUUCAAUAUAGAAUCCCAUUUAAUAGAGAUAUGUUUUCUUUGCCUAAUCGAAAGUGUAUGGAAGUGGUUGUUUACUUUUUGUUUAAAAAGUUAAAUAAAGAAUCAACACUGGAGAUUUUUAGACAUUCUGAACUCCAUCUGAUGAGACAAGGUUGUAUUUUUACUCAUCUGACCGCAAGUUUUUUCCAAUAUCAGUCGUGGACAGGAAAGGCGUGUGAUUGCACUCCAAUCUUGACCAGGAAUUGUUGGCCGAUUAUUGACAAAAAAUCAGAACAAGAAUUUCGUAAACAGACAAUAGAUUGGAUUACUAGAAUCAAAAAGGAUGAUCCAGAAUGUAAUUUGCCUAAUAUAACUCCUUCUUUGCUUAUAACUCCUUCAGGAGAGAAGUUUUAUCAGUUCUUGUUUUAUUUUUCGGUAUAUACUCUGAAGCAAAAAGCAAAAGCUAUAUCAAAAAAAGAUGACUUACUUCCUUUAUGGGUUAAUCUCUCAAAUGUGAAAAAAAAAUUUUCUUUGCAAAUUCAAAAGUCAUUGAUGUCUGUGGUUAUUAAUAGAAAAAAAAGGUUGAUUAAUUAUGUAAUGGAAACUUUCUCUGCAAAAAAUAUUUGGAUGGAAUAUGCUAGAGAUUUAAAUAAAGAACACAACAAACUUCUUAAAGAAAUAGGAGAGUGCGAAGAAAGCAUGAAAGUUGUAAAGUCUAAAAUGGUUGAGUUAUUUAAAACAAGUUCGUUUUCAUUAAAAGAUACAGCAAGAAAUGAAAGUUUAGAACAGGUAAAAAAUAUAUGGGAAACUAUAAGUAAACAUUUUGAGAUGCAAAAAAAAAUUCAAGAACAAAUUAGAAAGACUUUAUAUGCUGCUUCGUUGUCUUUGGAAGGCGAUAAGAUCAAUUUUGAGAUACCAGCCAUUCUUGUUAAUGAUUGUGAAAGAAUGCUCCACUAUGGAAAACGUUUUCAAAAUGUUUAUAAGGAAAGACAAUUAAAUAUACUAAGUUUGAUAGAAUUGUGGAAUCUAUUACUUCAAAGAGUUAGAACAACAUUAAGUCAAAAUCCCUUGUAUUGUGCAGUUCAUGAAGAAUCAUAUGUUUGUAAUGAAGUAAACAAACAUUCAAAUUACUUGUGCUAUCUUGAAUCUAUAAGACUUCGACUUGCUUCUAACAUUAUUCCUGACAUCCAAAAGUCAAUCAAAGAUUUAAAAAAAUCUUUAAGUGAUAUGUCUUCAUAUCAAGAAUCUUAUAAAUAUAUUCUUGAUUUAUUACCAACUACACCAGCAUUUCAUUUUAAUUUCAAUGAUGAUAAUGAUGAUACUAAAAAGUUAUUUAAAGAUGAGUAUACUGCUACCCCAUCUGCUACAUGCACACCAUAUGCUGUUGAUGACUUGCUCUGUAAAUUAAAUGAUAAUAGUCAAGAUCAAACACCCGUUCGACAACUAAAAUCAAUUCAAAAAAAGUAUCCUUAUUUACUUUCAUCACCAACAGCAAAAUCAACAAAUUUAAAAUUGGAUUGUCCAGCUAAGAUAGGUAAUGUUAAAAAGACUCAAAUGUUGAAUCCUCAAGCUAAUAAUAAAUCAUCUCGCAUUCCUCGUUAUAAUCUAUCAAACUGUAAUGUUAAAAAUACAAAGGAUGUAGAUUGCAUUAGCAAUAUAAAGAGAAAGUCUUCAGUACAUGAUAUAGAAAAUAAAAGCAAAGCACAGGAGAUUCUUCUUGAACAGAUAGCACAGUCUGUUUUGAAUGUUAAUAAAGAAAAUGUUGGAAGCAGUUCUGAUGAGGAAAUAGAAAGUAGUAUACAUGGACUUUAUAAUCCUUUUGAAGCAUUUUCAAAAAAUCCUUUUAUUAACAAUGAAAAAUGUAUUCGUACUCCAGGCCCAAAAUGCAGGCAAAGUAAUUUUAUUGGCUUGACUUGUAUAGGCUUAUCGAAUUUAUCUUUGCUUGAUACUGCAAACUCUCUGAAUGAAAAUACUGAUAACAACGAUUGCUCAAGCUUUUUUGCAUUAAGUCCAAUUCACGACUUUCAAACUUCGUAUUCACCAUUUGAAACUUCAAAUAUUCAAUUAUCAAAGAUACCUUCAGAUGACUAUAGUUUACUUACACCAUUUUGCAAUUUAGAAAAGUCUAAUGUUCCUCAAAGGUCACCUUCUUCUACCGUAAGUACAUCUCAAAGGUUGCUACAGGAUAAAGAAAAUCAAAAGAGCUUAAAUAAAACAUUUAUGAAGUCUAUAGAAGAGCUUUCAAAUUCAUUAAAAUUUGAUGAAGGUGAAAAUUUCUCAUACUUUGAGCAGAACACUUACAAAAGAAAUUUCGUUAAAAAUAACUUUCCAGAGUUUACUCCUGAACAAAUUGAUGCAAAAAGAAAUUUCGUUAAAAAUAACUUUCCAGAGUUUCCUGAACAAAUUGAUGCAAAAAAUCUGAUCAGUUUUUUUACUCCAGAAAAACAUUUAGGUGUUACUAAUGAUGACGUGGACAAUUUCAUUGAAGAAGUUUUAUCUAAUACACCAGGUUAUCUUAUGAAAACACCUUACACCAUCCAAAAUAACUUUCACCUACUAACACCUGAGGCAGUUCAUCCAAAGUCAGUUAGCAUUUAUAAUGCACACAAAAAUUCAUAGUAUUGAUAGAAAAGCGAUUUGAAUAAUGCUGGUCUUUACAGGAUAGGUAUCCUUGCAAAACUGUUUUGUCGUAGAAUUGGUGAUCAACUAACUGCGAUUUCAACUACUAGAAAACAACAAUUAAAUAAACAAGGUUGGUUGCAAACUUGAAAAAUGUUCUUAGUACAAUUGAAGAUCACAUAGAGAUGUCGAUGGUCGACUUCCAUAUGUACGACAACAGUUGGAGCUGUUUGAAGAUGUGGUGAAGAUCUCAAUGUCAAAUGUCAAUUGCGCUGUGGUGAAUUGUGAUGAUAAUGAAAAUGUUGUAACAGUAGAAUCAGCAGAAAAAAUUCAUCGGAUGAAGACGAAGAUACAUAUGAAGACAAUUAAUGUUGAAACUAUUUUGACAAAUAAACAAGGAAAAUGUAAUGACAAAUGUUUAUCAGAACUUAUCAGAUUUGUCAGCCUCACUUUACUCCUUAUUGCCACAAGUGAUAUUUCACUAUUAAUUAAAAAUGACGUGAGUAUGCGCAAACGACAAUACAGGGGUGCAAAAACCAAUUAAUCAAAAUUGUGGUCACUUGUCAGCCGAAACACGCAAGCAUCCGAUGCUGUGAUAAUACUAAAGUUUCAUUGAAGAUACCAAGGGAGAUUCAGUGGAUUCUACAUAUAAUGCCAUAUGUCGACUUUUGGUAUUAGGAGUAGAAGGAAAGGUUCCCCAAAUCAUGGAUGAACUGAAAUUCCGUCAUUUUAAACCAGUGGGUUAUAAUGUAUUAGACGAAACAACUUAUGAAACCUAUUACUGAUGGCAUGAUGAACUCCUGAACUGAUUCAGCAAGUUUGAAAGAAACUCCUAAUGCUUAUUCUAAAAGUCAUCCACAACGAAUAUUUAAUUGAGGAAUUGAUUUCAAACAUAGAUCGGCGUUUCCCGUAUUUGCUUAUAUACUACAGUUCAUCCAGGAUUUAUGCAUUGCAACUGAAUCUCAUCCUCAAAUAAAGCUGCGAAUUUUGACCUCUGAAACUAAUAAUUUUUGUGAAUGUAUUUUGUUUGUACGAGGCCAUGUAGUUUUGUAGGUACGAUCAAUUUUUUUUAAUAAUUGGGAACGUAACUGAAUAAAAAAUUU